rnacentral:rRNA from 1 species
AUGUUGAUGGCGUAUGUAAGCGAGAUUGUCCCGAGGACUCAAACCAUAGGCAUGGGGAUAUUGAGGGAGAUACAUAUGUCAUCGCUGCAUCCAGAUAGAGCUGCACUUGAGCAAUGCAUCUGGGACCCAGCCAGAAGAUCAGCAGCCGAGAAGAUCAGCAGCCGAGGAGCGAACGCGGGAAAUGAGGAGCUCCACAGCCGCCAUGUCGGCAUCUUUAAUAAAAGAUUUCCAUUGCUGCAAAAAGCAAAAAAAUUUGAAGAUGCAGUCAACAGCUCUGUUAAGGAACACAUGUUCAAUGAGCUCCGCAUUGUGCACCCGUGCCCGCCCGUGCUCCGCGUCGCGCGCUCUUGCCCGCCCGUGCCCCGCAUCACCCAUGUGCUCUACGUCGGCCCGCUCGCGCCCCAUAGCUCCUGCCCCGCCACGCCUGCUGCUCAGCCGCACUCGCCUGCGAGCUCGCCGGGGCUACAACAACCCCACCCCACCUUGCCGCAGUUCCAGGUGUGUGCCAUGCCGUUGGUGUGCAAUCUCAGGGGGGUCCGAGCUGCCACAGUGGGCAUCCCUGCGCACGCCCAUGCACCUCAAGACCAUGGCAAGCGUCGCUGCACCUCAAGAGCACAGCGCACACCACCGAGUCAUCGUUCGACCGGAGCGGCACCGGAGGGUGCGCCGCCGAGACUAGCCUUGAGCGGCACCGAGGGAGCUAGCAUGGUCACCGCUAGCCUUGGACGCCAGGAGCGGCUCGUCGUCGUCGUACACCUUGGGCACGCCGACAGCCUUGGCCGACGGUGGCGUCUUGCAGGAGUGUCAAAGGUAGGUGGCCGGCGGCGGCUCGGUGGCGUCUUGUGGGAGUUGACGGAGCCUUGGCCAGCGGCAGCUCGGUGGCAGGAGAAGAAUAGGAGGAGAGAAGCGGGGGUGAUCUCGAUCCACCGCCGCCCCCACCCCCAACAUCGACGACCCUCGCUGCAGACGAGAUCACCGCGUCUCCUCCUCCCCUCUCCCGCGUCCCAUCCUGCACCCUCGGCCGCCGCCUCGCCCUCCACAGCGCCGGCCAUGAACGCACCGGCGCCGCUAGGCCACCGCGGGCACCGCGUCGAGCAGCGCAACUACGAGAAAUGGGAGGAGGAGGACGUCAGGUGGCAGCCCGUCAGGCUCGUGCCCGGGGACUACAUCCUGCUCCGCCACGCCAGCGGCCGCUUCCUCCGCGCCAACGGGAACACGAUGACUCACUGGGUCGUGGAGCGCAUCACAGCCAGGGAGGGCAUGCCUGAGGUGAGCCCGCUUCUUGAUUCUUCCCGAAUUUGCACGAAUUUGAUUGUGAUGGGUGCAAAGGGUGAAAGGAUUUGGUCUGAUCUUAUAUACCACUCCUGUAGUCAUGUGUUACCUGAAUUUGAGAUAGGGUUUUGGUGGUGGGGGUGGACCUCUUCGUUGUGCACGGCUGAGAUGAACGUCCUCGGCGGUGGUGGCAGCGCGUGUGAGAUCCUCCUCCAUGACAAGGCCGCCGCCGGAUCAGCUCCUCUCUAUCGAUGGAUCCUCGCCUCUCCGACAAGGCCGCCACCGGAUCCCCUCCUCUCCAAUAGCAACGCCUCCGGAUCCACUCGUCCUCGACAACGAUGGCACCAAGGAGCACCAGGAGCUUCGGAUCCGUGCUAUAGAAUGCCAUCUAGGAUAUCUGUUAAGCCACUUGCUCGCCAGAAGAAGGCUGUGAAGAUCUUCCCCCGCCCUACCUCUGGACCUCUUCGCCCCAUCGUGCAACGCCAGACGCGCAAGUACAACAUGAAGGCCAGGGCUGGUAGGGGCUUUACCCUUGAGGAACUUAAGUCCUCCUUCUCCUCUCCCUCCUCCUCAUGCUCCGACGAGUCCGAAGGCAGGCCGGUUGCAAUCCAGGCAGCAUGUCGGGCCCGGAUCUGCUCAAGUAGCUGCAGUCGGCGCUCCAGAGUGAGCAUCACGUACAUCGUAGUCUGCUGUCGGGCUAAAGCUAUAGGCGAACUCCGAGCAUCACCGUAUGGGGGUGGCGGUGCGGAGGGGGGUGGAAAUAGGAUGCGGCUAGGGUUAGAGGACGGGUGCCUACGCCUUCCGCCGUGCUGCUGCUGCCAGCGAAGGGGGCCCAUCCUACCCAGCUCGUAUUUUGUUUUCCCCCAAUAUUCCAGACUUGGGUCAAUUCAUUUGAUAUUUGUGGAUCAUUCGCCGGACGCAGAAUACCCGCUAGCUGAAACAGCGCACGACCUAGAGCUGGAGAAAGAUGUCGCACAGGCUAUAACAUCGCAUUUCAUCGUUUCAUCCGAGAGUUCGAAACAUCCGCUAGUUGCAAGCAGCGUCUGUUUCGUCAGACGAUGCCGGUGGAACAAUCUUCUUUUGGUGAAUGAAAACACACCCGCCGUGCUAUUGUCCAGCCGCCGGUUUUUUAUGGAACAACCACACAAAUUAGAGCAGAUUAAAGAUCAGGAGAUGAAACUGAAGCUAAUCUUGCGGGUAGGCGGAGAUUGGAGGCGACGACAGAUGGAAAGAUCGCACGAGCCGCAAUCUGCGUGCGUUCUGUUGGAGCGAUAUAAAAUCGUGUCGAUCGCCAGGAUUGUAGCAGACUGCGUUGGUGCUCCUGGUCGCAAGCCCUUGACCGGAGAACAACUUCGUUGGGGGGGGUCUAGCCCCCCCUCGUCCCCCCUUGUCUCCGUCCCUGUUUGUAUCAACCUUACUGCUCCGAUUUGGCAGGUGGUUAGCCGUCACCUCCCGUUGUACACAGUUGUGGCAUCUCCGACUUGGGUCGCACCAUUCUGUAUGCGCCAAUGUAGCUCAUGGUCGGCCUCAUGGUGCCCCCUCAUCAUUGCCAGUUGCACCUUCGACAUCAUAGAUUUGCUGCACCACGACAUGCCCUACCACGACCUAGCGACACCAUGGACUGACACGACAUUCAAGGAGAUGGGUGAAGCCAUCACCAUCCAUGGGUGUAGCAAAAGCGUCACCGCCAUCACCGUAGUAUCGCCGAUGACCGGUUCCAGCACCCCCGAGUGUCGGGCGCGGCAUCACCGGAACCCUUACCAGCUUCCUCAAUUAUCGGUUCCAACAUCAUCGGGGUCGGUCCCAGCAUACUCGACUGCCAUUUCUAGCAUCGUCAGGAGCAGUGCCAGCAUCCCCAUCUUCCCCGUCGCAUCAUCGCCUGACGGGCGGUUCCAGCUCGUCGACGUGUUGGUUGCAGCUCAUUGGACGAAGUGGUGGGAAGGAUCUAUAGAAGGGAUAAGAGAUAGCGACACGUGGAGGCCAACGUCCACGUACACACUCAAGACUUGCAGGCGAAGUGCUCGGUCGAUUGAGUUACAUCUUUUUUUUCCAUUCCCCUUCCCCCCAAGCCCCACCCCUACAAUUCCCACCAAGAACCCUCGUAACUGCGGCGACACCAUGGGCCGAAUAUCAUUUUAUGGCCUAAGAAAGAAAGAAAACACCAACUAUUCGUCCGUCGAAAUUCUCUUUUGCUUACGGCAUUUCCAACUUGGACAUGCAAAAUGGACACAGAAUCCGUCCAUGGACACGUCCGUAGACAUGCAAACAUGA